UAGGAUCAUUUCAUGCAACUCAAAAGGAACUGUGUACCUUGGAAGAUCCAAAUUGGAUUGGGAGUUCAGUUGUUAAUGUCUUCGGGCAAUUGCUAAUCCUCAAACAAAUAAAAUCAUAUGGAGUUGUAUUGCGCCACUACUUUCCCACAUAUUUUUCACAAAAGAUUGCUAAAGGAGGGACAAUAAAAGAUAUAGAACCUUACUAUUCAAGGGAGAAGCUAGGCUAC